GAGGGCUCAGCGCCAACAGGGUUGUGGGGAGAGUGGGAGCAAAGAAACGGAUGGCACAUCGCUGGAAAGGCGAAACCCUCUCCACAUUUUUUUAUCGACACCGUCACGCUAGUCACGCUCUAGCACGACCACCACCUCGACUCGCCUCUCCAUCGAGAUGACGUCACGAACGCCGCAGCCACCGACAACCCCUUCUGGACAACCGGUGCAUCAAGUGGAUUUCAAGCCACCUGUGCAGUCUCCAACUUUGCCCGCGUUUCCAGUCCCGCUGUCUAGACGCGUGAACGUGGCUCCCGUCGCGCCGUCCGCGACGGCAACUGCCACACUGCAAGUGCCGCAGGCGCCGUUUCCACGCUUGCUGUCGCUGAGGCCGGUUUCGCCGUCAACGCCCAUGAGCCCGUUCCCCGCUAGAAUGGCUCCAGAACGCAUGGCUGCACUCGGCAAGGCGCAAGGUGCCGUCACAGCUGCGCAGACGGAAGGAAGGAAAGUUUUUUUUUGUCAGUUUUUUGACCGAUAGCCAUUUACGUUCGCAAGCUACAUGGGCUACGAAUACGAGGGGCGCAGUACAGCAAAGGGCUCUGUAUUGCUUUUUAAACACCUGCGGUUCUUCAACAUGCAACUUAAGCUGAAAAUUAUGGCAGUUUCGCCGCAAGGGCAAAUCAAUGAAUGCGAUAGCAACAUGUUCGCAACAUUUCGCAACAUGCGAAAUUUGAGUGCAGCACUAUACGUGUUUUCAUUUCGCGAUAUAUUGACUGGCGCGGGCAACCUGUCUGAUGCUGCACCUUGCAAACGCAGCUUGUGUGGCGUGACAGCAGCUGCCCCAGAUAGAUGUCGCAGACGACGCACGCUGCUGUGGCAUCAUCUCAUAGCCUUUGUCACCGCAGAGAUAGAGCGUGUGUGUGUG